rnacentral:rRNA from 1 species
GACGAACGCUGGCGGCGUGCCUAAUACAUGCAAGUCGAGCGAAGUUUUUCUGGUGCUUGCACUAGAAAAACUUAGCGGCGAACGGGUGAGUAACACGUAAAGAACCUGCCUCGUAGACUGGGACAACUAUUGGAAACGAUAGCUAAUACCGGAUAACAGUAUUUCUCGCAUGAGAGAUAUUUAAAAGUUGGUUAUGCUAACACUAUGAGAUGGCUUUGCGGUGCAUUAGCUAGUUGGUGGGGUAAAGGCCCACCAAGGCGACGAUGCAUAGCCGACCUGAGAGGGUGAUCGGCCACACUGGGACUGAGACACGGCCCAGACUCCUACGGGAGGCAGCAGUAGGGAAUCUUCCGCAAUGGGCGAAAGCCUGACGGAGCAACGCCGCGUGAGUGAAGAAGGAUUUCGGUUCGUAAAGCUCUGUUGUUAGGGAAGAAUGGAUAUGUAGUAACUAUACAUGUAAGAGACGGUACCUAACCAGAAAGCCACGGCUAACUACGUG